CUUGGUCAUUUAGAGGAAGUAAAAGUCGUAACAAGGUUUCCGUAGGUGAACCUGCGUUUACGAUCAUUACCUGGCCUUGGGCCGCUCGGGGGAGCCAGUCGCUCGCGACGACGCUGCCUUGGGUGCUUAGCCCUUGACUAUCACCUUGGCUACGUGCACCUUUUGUUGUUUCCUCGGCAGGUCCUCUGCCGCCAGGAACCCCCCCAACCCUUUUGCGACAGCAUCCAAACUUCUGAAAACAAACCAAAUCAUUUACAACUUUUAACAAUGGAUCUCUUGGUUCUGGCAUCGGUGAAGAACGCAGCGAAAUGCGAUAAGUAGUGUGAAUUGCAGAAUUCAGUGAAUCAUCGAAUCUUCGAACGCACAUUGCGCCCCAUGGUAUCCCGUGGGGCAUGCCUGUUCGAGCGUCAUUUACCCCCUCAAGCUCCGCUUGGUGUUGGGCGUCUGUCCCGCUUCGCGCGCGGACUCGCCCCAAAGGUAUUGGCAGCGGUCGUGCCAGCUUCUCGCGCAGCACAUUGCGCUUCUCGAGGCACCGGUGGGCCCGCGUCCAUCAAGCUCACCCCCCCNGCUUGACCUCGGAUCAGGUAGGGAUACCCGCUGAACUUAAGCAUAUCAACACCUGCUUGAGGGUCAGUA
rnacentral:rRNA from 1 species